rnacentral:snRNA from 1 species
AAUGGAUCCGUAACUUCG